rnacentral:rRNA from 1 species
AUACGGAGGAUGCAAGCGUUAUCCGGAUUUAUUGGGUUUAAAGGGUGCGUAGGCGGUUUGCUAAGCGGGAGGUGAAAUGCCGGCGCUCAACGUCGGAAGUGCCUCCCGAACUGGUGGACUUGAAUGACUCUGCCGUGGGAGGAAUGUGUAGUGUAGCGGUGAAAUGCUUAGAGAUUACACAGAACACCGGUUGCGAAGGCAUCGCACGAAGGGUUGAUUGACGCUGAGGCACGAAAGCGUGGGGAUCAAACAGGAUUAGAUACCCUGGUAGUCCACGCAGGAAACGAUGAUGGCUAACCGCUGGAUCCAUCGGUUCAGUGGCCAAGCGAAAGCGAUAAGCCAUCCACCGGGGGAGUACGACCGCAAGGUUGAAACUCAAAGGAAUUGACGGG